rnacentral:rRNA from 1 species
ACGGGAGGCAGCAGUGAGGAAUAUUGGUCAAUGGGCGGAAGCCUGAACCAGCCAAGUCGCGUGAAGGAUGAAGGUAUUAUGUAUUGUAAACUUCUUUAGUCGCAGGGAAAUAAGGCGGACGAGUCCGCUGAUGCUAGUAUGCGAAGAAUAAGGAUCGGCUAACUCCGUGCCAGCAGCCGCGGUAAUACGGAGGAUCCGAGCGUUAUCCGGAUUUAUUGGGUUUAAAGGGUGCGCAGGCGGUCUUUUAAGUCAGUGGUCAAAUGGUGGGGCUCAACCCCAUCCCGCCAUUGAUACUGGAGGACUUGAUUGCGGUCGAGGUUGGCGGAAUUCGUCGUGUAGCGGUGAAAUGCAUAGAUAUGACGAAGAACACCGAUUGCGUAGGCAGCUGACCAGGCCGUAAAUGACGCUCAUGCACGAAAGUGCGGGGAUCGAACAGGAUUAGAUACCCUGGUA